rnacentral:rRNA from 1 species
CUACGUGCCAGCAGCCGCGGUAAUACGGAAGGUCCAGGCGUUAUCCGGAUUUAUUGGGUUUAAAGGGAGCGUAGGCUGGAGAUUAAGUGUGUUGUGAAAUGUAGACGCUCAACGUCUGAAUUGCAGCGCAUACUGGUUUCCUUGAGUACGCACAACGUUGGCGGAAUUCGUCGUGUAGCGGUGAAAUGCUUAGAUAUGACGAAGAACUCCGAUUGCGAAGGCAGCUGACGGGAGCGCAACUGACGCUUAAGCUCGAAGGUGCGGGUAUCAAACAGGAUUAGAUACCCUGGUAGUCCGCACAGUAAACGAUGGAUGCCCGCUGUUGGUACCUGGUAUCAGCGGCUAAGCGAAAGCAUUAAGCAUCCCACCUGGGGAGUACGCCGGCAACGGUGAAACUCAAAGGAAUUGACGGGGACCCGCACAAGCGGUGGAGCAUGUGGUUUAAUUCGACGCAACGCGAGGAACCUUACCAGAUCUUGACAUCCCG